ACAGGACACCACUGGAAACAUCUGUUACAUUACCAAGGCUUCUGACUGGAAUGUCAUGUUUGAGAGAUAUACAUAGACUCAGAUAUGACCAUGCAGUUUUAAGAAACUAAGGUUGACUUUUAUGAAACAUGGAGGCUCUUGGAAAUGUUGGCCUGACACCUUGCUUACAGAGUCCCAGCAGCCUUACCAGCUCGCCAGUUCUCACAUGGGACCAGAUGGGAAGGUGCCAUUGGGAGACCCAGCCUUCAUGCCAGAUUCCUGGGCAAUCUGGUCCUGCAUCUCUGCUGUGAGAAGGGGUAGGCUAAGGCUGGAAUCAUCUGGAGGCCUCCAGGAGGAGCCACAGAAGAUGGCAGGUGUUUCAUGUGGCUGCACUAAGGGCUCUCAUGGCCUGGGUCCAUCCUAACAGGCCCUUUUUUGACCAAUCCUGGGAAAUCAUGUCCACUGCAUUUUAUUGAUUACAGCUAAAAGUACUGAAGGAAGCAUAUGAGCCCCCUGGCUGGUCUCACAUUCAGUUGGCAAAUCCUGGAACUGGCCUGGCCAUCAUGCAGUAUCUCUUCAUCCUUUCCUAUGGGAAGGACUUCUCUUCCCUUUCACCAACCUGAGAGGCCUUUGCUAAAGAAGCAACAUCUGUCACUUUCAGCUCUGAGGUGGCCUGAGAGCCAGUGGAAGGAGAGCACACAGCACAGGGGACAGGCUUCCCAGCCAUUCCUCGAUCUGGGAGCAACCUCUCACUUGCCAGCAUGGCCAUGAUCAUGGGAAUAAUUCUGCACGAUGGGAGGGCAAUGAACAAUCAUGCUGAUAAACAGAUGACUGCCUGUGAGCUGGGUGUAGCAGGAUGUACCCUGUGUCAAGCCCCCAAGGCUACUGGAAAAAUGUGGCCCUUGUUUAAAGUGUUCUCCACAGUGUCCAGAAUCAACACCUCGCCAGGGACACAUCAUUUUCUGGGACUGGUGGUUUCCAGACACCAUGCAGUUAACGCAGGGUAAGUGCGUUCCAGUGUGAGCAGC